rnacentral:lncRNA from 1 species
AGGGAUCAUGUCUUGGCUGUUCAUAGAAUCCUUCAAAUGCAUGUACUUGUUGGUUCCUUGCAUAACCAUAAUUCGGAUGGUCUCUCCAAUAUGGAUUGUAUGUAUUAUGGUAGGGAUCAUGUCUUGGCUAUUCAUAGAAUCCUCCAUAUGCAUGAACUGGUUGGUCAUCCUCAUAAAGUGUAGGACAUUGGGACGUUAGAUAUCCCACAUAUCCACAGAUCUUACAUGGUUGAGACUGCUGAAGUCGUCGCUCCUGUAGAGCUAUGACAUAGCUUUCCACAAUAGAGGUUAGGUCAGAAAUUUGAGAAAGGGGUUAUAUGUACUUACCUCAUCCAUGAAUCAAUUCUGCGAU